rnacentral:rRNA from 1 species
GAUGAACGCUGGCGGCGUGCCUAAUACAUGCAAGUCGAGCGAACGGACGAGAAGCUUGCUUCUCUGAUGUUAGCGGCGGACGGGUGAGUAACACGUGGAUAACCUACCUAUAAGACUGGGAUAACUUCGGGAAACCGGAGCUAAUACCGGAUAAUAUUUUGAACCGCAUGGUUCAAAAGUGAAAGACGGUCUUGCUGUCACUUAUAGAUGGAUCCGCGCUGCAUUAGCUAGUUGGUAAGGUAACGGCUUACCAAGGCAACGAUGCAUAGCCGACCUGAGAGGGUGAUCGGCCACACUGGAACUGAGACACGGUCCAGACUCCUACGGGAGGCAGCAGUAGGGAAUCUUCCGCAAUGGGCGAAAGCCUGACGGAGCAACGCCGCGUGAGUGAUGAAGGUCUUCGGAUCGUAAAACUCUGUUAUUAGGGAAGAACAUAUGUUUAAGUAACUGUGCACAUCUUGACGGUACCUAAUCAGAAAGCCACGGCUAACUACGUG